GUCUUCACCUCCACCACCUGACCAUCACUCGAUCACGCCACUCUACCUGGAAGUCGAGUAUCACCAUCACCACCACUCGACUACAUACUCGAUGGCGACCUUCAGAGUCUUCUCCAUUCCAAACUUAACCAGACACUCGAGCACAAGGAAGAAAAGAAGACUCCAGCUUAUCACUCGAACUCUCACUCAACCACCUGGGUCGAGUACAGUUCUUAAUCCGUCCCAAUACUGCGUCAUUUUGAGUAUUAGGGUUUUGGAAUAUUUU
rnacentral:sRNA from 1 species